CAUGUCUUUUUGAUUAUAAUUUAAGGUUUAACCUGCUCAAUGAUUAUUUAAAUUGCCGCAGUAUUUUAACUGUGCGAAGGUAGCAUAAUAAUUAGUUUUUUUAUUGAAAGCUGGAAUGAAUGGUUGGACAAGAAAAUUUCUGUCUCUCUCUAAUUUUUUUUUGAAUUUUAUUUUUUAGUUAAAAAGCUUAGAUUUUAUUAAAAGACGAGAAGACCCUAUAGAGUUUUAUUUUUUUUAAUAGUUAUUUUGUUUUUGAAUUAAUAUUAUAAUUUUAGAAAAAAUUUGGCUGGGGUGACUAAAAGAUUAAAUUAACUCUUUUAAUUUAAAAUCAUUGAUUUAUGAACUGUUAAUCUGUAUUUUUCAAGUUUAAAUUAAAUUACCUUAGGGAUAACAGCGUAAUUUUUUUUUGAAGUUCUUAUUUAAAAAAGAGUUUGCGACCUCGAUGUUGGAUUAAAAUUUGAUUUUGGUGUAGUGGCUAAUAAUCUGAGUCUGUUCGACUUUUAAAAUUUUACAUGAUCUGAGU
rnacentral:rRNA from 1 species